UGCUUCCUCUACAAGAACGGGCACA
rnacentral:piRNA from 1 species